rnacentral:lncRNA from 1 species
GCAGGAAAUGCAAAUUUUUCUAGUUGUGUGGAUGCUUUAAGGCAUCCACACUAUUGUUUUCCUGUUUCUCUUUAUUCUUUAUUAUUAUUGUGUGGAUGCUUUAGGCAUCCACACUAUUGCGUUCCUGUUUCUCUUUAUUGUGUGGAUGCCCUAAAAGGGCUUCCACACUAUUGAGUUCCUGUUUCUCUUUAUUGUGUGGAUGCUUUAAGGCAUCCACACUAUUGUUUUCCUGUUUCUCUUUAUUCUUUAUUAUUGUGUGGAUGCUGGAGGCAUCCACACUAUUGAGUUCCUGUUUCUCUUUAUUCUUUAUUGUGUGGAUGCCCUCAAAGGGCUUCCACACUAUUGAGUUCCUGUUUCUCUUUAUUCUUUAUUAUUGUGUGGAUGCCCUUAAAGGGCUUCCACACUAUUGAGUUCCUGUUUCUCUUUAUUGUGUGGAUGCCCUAAAGGGCUUCCACACAAUUGUUUUCCUGUUUCUCUUUAUUCUUUAUUGUUCUUUUUCAAGGCGAGGCGAAAGUAUACCUUGAACCCGGGCGGAACCCCCUCAGACAGCACUCAGACAGCACCAAUUAUUUUAUGCAGAAAAAGCUCUGCUUACCUUAUCUUAUGCGGCCGCUUGGUGCUCUCUGGGUGCGCAGAGUGGCAACAACGCCCAAGGUCCACGGCUGAUGCCUCCAACUCCUUGUCCCUUCGUCCGGUCGCCAAAUUGUAGUUGCCACAAUGGAGAGUAAUUCCUCAGAUUAGCAAUAGGUAGAUCUCAGCUUCCCAAUUCCAAUUAAAGUCAAAAACACAAAAAUUACAGGAGAGGAACAAAGUUCUAUGCCAGCUGUUUUAUUGAACAGUGUAGCUCAGCAAAACAGAGGGAAAAGCAAAGCUCCCCUAGGGUGUUCGCAGUAAGCGCAUGCAGGUAGGGACCGACCCCACGGACAGACAGCAGGAAAAAGCCCAGAGGGCUGUCCCCGGCCCCCUUUUAAAGGUACCAGUAGUCCCACCUCCUGCUGCUGAGUAACUUUCCCACGCACCCAGGAGCAGGUGCAGGGUCAAAUGCCGGCCAGAGUUCACACCGGGCGCUGGCUGAACGCCCGGUCCAAAAUGACACCCCUAGGUUAACCCUUUGCUUUACCCUCUGACAAUAGGUCACAACGUGGUCAAAGGUCACACAUUAGUACAGCAAAUAGCAUAGUUUAUAAAAGAUAAUUAUGAUAUUAAUGUGAAUAAUACUUGGCCUAACUACAUCAAAUAUAUGAGUUAAAUGCAUAACAUAAAAAUAAAACACUCCAGUGUAGGUUUAUAGUGUGUGUGUGUGUACAGGACAGUGAAGAUAUGCCUCAUGAGUGUGCUGCAUGACUUGUGGGUGUGUGUGUGUGUUUGUGUGGGUGUGUGUGUGUGUGUGAACCACUGCAUGCCUAAAACUCCACAUGAAAGUUAGAAUAUAUAUAUUCAGAUAGAUAUAUAGGUACAAAAAUCCAUCAUGUUAGAUUUAUAGGUAUACAUGUCAUACAAAAAUCCACUACAGUUGCGUG